rnacentral:rRNA from 1 species
AUGGACACUGCUACAGUGAUCGAGUGUUUCAGGAACAAGAGCAUCCUAAUCACCGGCUCGACAGGCUUCGUCGGGAAAAUGCUGGUGGAGAAGAUACUGAGGGUUCAGCCGGAUGUGAAGAAGCUCUACCUCCUCGUACGCUCAUCUCUAUCACAAUGUUGGAUCCCUCUCAAAGCUUUCGUAGAUCUCGAAAAAAAACUCUUUGAUGUUCUGAGGGACGAUCAUAGGGCUAAUUUCAACUCCUUCAUCCAAGCUAAAAUUUCUCCUCUACCUGGAGACAUUGUGCACGACAACUUUGCACUUAACAGCUCUACCAUUGAACGCCUCUCCCAGGAGAUUGAUGUCAUUGUCAGUGUGGCUGCCUUCUAUGAGAUGGUGCAUAGGUACGAUAACGCUUUGGCAUCAAAUUCCCUAGGGGUUGCCAACAUGUGCCAAUUUGCAAACAAGUGUGCUAAUCUCAAAAUGCUCCUUCGUGUUUCCACUGCCUUUGUAGUUGGGGAGCAAGAAGGCCUGAUACUAGAGAAGCCAUUCAAUACAGGAGAAAAGCUGAGGGGUUACCAUUUUAACAUUCAAUCUGAGCUCAAAUUAGUUGAUAGUGUUAAGUCAAAACUCAGGAUACAAUCGUCCACCGAUAAACUUGUAAAGAAGACAAUGAAGGAACUUGGAUUAAAAAGGGCUAGGCACUUUGGUUGGCCUAACGUAUAUUCACUAACAAAGGCUAAGGGGGAGAUGUUACUUGGAGACUUGGGACGGGACCUUCCUGUUGUCAUAGUGCGCCCAAGUAUCAUAACAAGCACUUUCCAGGAUCCAAUGCCGGGAUGGACAGAAGGAACUAGGACAAUUGAUAUGCUGUAUGUUGCCUAUAAUGACCAAAAGCUUCCAUGCUUCAUCGCAGAUCCUAUUGUCCUAUUCGAUCUGAUACCGGGAGAUAUGGUGAUUAAUGCAAUGAUGGUUGCCAUGGCUAGUCACUGGGAUCAGCAAGGAACUCAAGUGAUUUACCAUGUGGUCUCCGGUAAUCGUAACCCACUACGAGGUUCUGUUACGGUGGAAUCAAUGUAUCAAUACUUUAGUGAAAAUCCCCGCGUAACCAAGGAUGGGAAAAUCGUCAAGAAUAAAAGGGUUCUUACUUUCAAAAUUUUUGCAAACUUUCAUCUAUACAUGAUUGUACGGUAUAAGUUACCUCUAGAGAUGUUGCAUGCGGUUAAUGUAUUUGGGGGUAUGUUAUCUCAGCGUUACAAGAAACUCAGCCGAGGCUACAGUUUCUUAAUACCUGUUGCAAUGUUGUAUGUUCCUUAUGUAUUCUUCAAAGGGCGCUUUGACGACACAAAUAUGAGUAAGCUGUGGGCGGGAACUGCUGCAGGCCAGAAUGACGAUUCCUUGGUAAGUUGUGAUCCUGCGUGCAUCAACUGGGUCUUAUACCUCGUGAACACACACAUCCCUGCUGUUUUGGAGUAUGCUAAGAAUAAUAACCAGAUGAAGCAAGCAGGCAACAGUGCAUAA